CUCCAGACCUGGGAGGAAGAUGAAGGUCGCAGUGGUUAGCGUGGCCCUGCUUCUUGCCAUCCUGUGCUACUCAGCAGAUGCAGUGCAAGUGGGGCCGCUUCAGGUGGAAGACAAAGGCGUUGUGUUGAACUCUCCGGAGGUGGGAGAUGCUGGUCAGCUUGUAGAUGGAGAUGUUGCUGUGCCAGUA